CCCUCUUUGGCCGGUGCCGGCCUGCGCGGUAUGUGUGUGCCCCGUGCUCCUGGCUGGAGCUGGGGCCGCUCGUGGGAGGCAGCGGGCGCCGAGCUGCUGCGAGGUCGGGGGUGGGUGCAGCCCCGUUGCUCGAGGGAGCGUUACAGGGCUUUGGAGGCCGAUCAGCGCGGUGUCCCGCUCGGAAAUCCCGGUGGUCUCCUUGUCGCCAUCGUGUCCCCGUGUCCUCGCACUGUGCCUGGAGGUCUGUGAUCCUUUGGGGGUGUGGAUUCGUGGGACCGCGGCGUGGUUGGGCUGGAAAGGACCUCAAAGCCCGCCCGGUUCCAAUCCUCUGCCGUGGACAGCGUUGCCGCCCUCCGGGUCAGGCGUUGGCUGAAAACAGGUGCGAUCUGAAAUGGUGUUAAUGACCACGGCUGGGGUGUGUGCUGCACUGAAACCCCCCCGAUCUCCUUACUUAAAGAAAAGUGAAAAAAGAGAGGGGGAGGAUGGAGACGUGACUCUUGUUUUCCCAAGAACCCCUCAAAGAAGCCCGUUAACACAAUCUCAUGGCUAAAAUUACAUACUGUGUUUAUGUCUGUGUGUACACACGCAUAGAUGUGAGAGGGAGGAAACUCAGCUGUAAUUCUUGGAGUAAAUAUAGCCACCAUGUGAUGAGUCUAACGUAUAAUUAGCAUGACCUGGUGGUACGGAGCAGGAGGCUGACUCGGCACCGAGACACUUUGCCCUGUGCUCACGGUGCUGUGUGCUGUGCCCCUGCUGGUGGAGCUGCUCUGGCCGUGCAAGUGGAAGUGCUGCUGGAAGUGAGAUCCAUGCUGCCCUGCCAUUCCAUUCGGCACCUAUGUCAAUCUGUUCUCAGCCACGUUCCGUGGCAGCACUCCUGACCUGCUGCCUGGCUCCCAGCGCUGUGCCUGCACUGGAGAUGGCUGGGGGGAAAUGCAUGGAGAACUUUUCACAUGAGUUCUUGAAUUUUGUUUCUGGCUGCACUGUUGACUCACUGUGUGACCAGAGCUUGAAAAAUUUCACCAAGGCUGAGUCUGGUGCUCGGCUGAGUGCCUGGGUCACUGCACCUCUCAGGCUACAUUCCUGCUGUUUGAAAGAGAACAAUUAAAUAUUUUGCAGUGCCUAUUGCUGUGUUAUUAGUGUUAGAUGUGUAAUUUCUAAGGUACACUUAUGUUUCUGCUGUCUUUUAUACUUUCUUUUUUGACAAUGUUUCACUUCCCUUUGGUGCAUUGUGAUUUGUCUUCUCCUGCCCCCUUCAGAAAGACAGAGGGCUAGAGCUCCCAUCAGUGCUUUCACUGAGGAUCAGGAUGUCAGUGCCACAAGAGUGAAGAGAACUACCUCAGGUUUCCUACUCUUCCCUUGGCUCUCUGUUAGUGGAGGAGGAGUAGGAGGAUGUAGUCCCUUCUAUGUUUGGGUUUUGAGGGCUGCUCCUGGAGAAGUUAGUUUCCUUUUCGUAGCUGUAAUGCACUGUUGCAUGGCAAAGUCUGCUUGAUUCUCAGCAAAACAGAAUGAAAUCAGCCCACUUCUGUUUGCUUGCAGUAUGAGAGUGCUCUGAGUAAUGCUGUCAUGUGAGCUGUUUGCAUGCUCGCAGACCCACGGUUGCAGCAGUUAAGUUGGUUGGGCUACAAACCCAGCUUGGGUUUGUGUUCCACCACGUGGAUUUCUGAGGGAGCCCUGCUGGCACUUGCUGUGAGUGUAUGCUCUACAAGUAUCUGGGGAAAUACUGACUUUGAAAAUAAGUCUUGUGCUUGAAAUCACCUUUGCUGAAUUGGAAGCACAGCUUCUGCUGGGUUAAGGGAUGCAUAGCUUUCACAGCAGCAUCUUUGAUCUUAGAAGCAUAAACAACAGCAGGAGGCUGUUCCAUUUUGGAAAUUCUAUUUACUAUUUAACUGUCUUUUCCAAGCAGGCUGCAGAGUUGAGCUGCUCAGGCUGCACGGUAGCUGUUGUUUCCUGGCGAAUAGGAAGCGGUUCUGCUUAAUUGUGUGUCUCUGUACAUGUUGGUUUUGUUACUGUUGUUGAUAAAUACUCAAAAAAAGUACUCUCUUCUGGAAUCUGUAGUGUUUUCUGGUUAGGAUUUCUAGGCACAACCACCUGUUUUGUUUUUCUUAUUAGCUCACGCUUUUGGAAACAGUUUUGCCAGAAACAUUUGUGUACGGUAUUUACAAAUGGAAUCACUGUAGGUCUCAUGUAUCAAACUUUGCCACCACAGCUCGAUGCCACCAUCCCAGGAGGGCUGUGCUGUACAGGAGCGACAGGCACGUAGAUCAGCACUGUGCUGCAAAGAUUCCUUCAGUGUUAGGAGAGUUAUAGCAGAACUGGUGCUGAUGGAGGGAGCAAUGUGUGGUUUAUAGUUGAGUGUUUCCUUUUUUCCAUAGAUAAUAUCUGAAAGGUGGUCUGGGGCUGCGCGCGCACUGUGAAGGGCAUAGCUGCUGUCUGAGAGCUCCAAUGCCCGAGCUGUUAGCUGAAGGGAGCUGUAGUUCCUCUGCUGAAGUUUUCUAACGGAGGCAAUUUGCUUACAGCUUAAGAAGUAGAAGUAGAGAAGGAAAGAGUGAGGAAUGUAAACAGAAUGUCAGAUAACUAAACCAUAAUUGACUUGCACCAAUUACUGAGGAAUAAAAUCUUGAAAUUAUGAGCUUGUGCUCUAUCUUAUAAAUGCCAAACCAAGGAGCCUGAUCACACUCCGCUUGGAAAGGCCUCAGAGUAUCUUUAUCUUUAUCUUCACUUGCUUUUCCUCGUCAAAUCUGCCGUCUGCUUGCUGUUGGAAGCUGCUGUGUGCUGAAGAAACUGUAAACUGAGAAGAUAAAGUGCCUUCCGACAGCUGUAGCGGCACAGCUGCUGUGAAUAUGUUGUAUUUUUAUCUGUCUUGUACAACUUCUUGGUCGCUUAUCGGGCCUGACUGAAAGAUAGACCAUAAAAUGCACCCAGGAACUUGUGGAGAGUGUAUGAGGAUGCUGACUGACGCUGGCGGGUAUCUGCUCCAGGCUGUCGUACCAUUGACUGGUGGCCAGCCCAACCUUUCUUAUAUGCUGCAAGCUGGUGGGUAAACAAUGGCCUUUCUGUUCUAGAGCACGGGUUUGUGCUGAUAGCGUGAGUCAGGUAGGCUCCUCUGUCGAUUGUGUGCCUGUGUGUCAUAAAGCACUGUUUGCCAAUGAUGACUCUGCCUCAUCCAUAACCUUUCUGCCAAACAUGGGGUGAGCCAGUCUGCGAACUGGAGAAAUGCUGCUGUUGUUUUUGCAGGAAUGCCUUUGGCUCAGGCCGUAGCCAUUCUCCAGAAGCACUGUCGCAUUAUCAAGAAUGUCCAGGUUCUCUACAGCGAGCAGUCACCUCUUAGCCACGACCUCAUCCUUAACUUGACUCAGGAUGGAAUCAAACUGCUGUUUGAUGCUUUCAAUCAGAGACUUAAGUUCCACAUCUGCUCUUUCAGGUGACUGAGUGCUGUUCUGCCUAUCUAGGAUGCUGUAUGUAGUUAAGACACAAAAUAAAGGGCAAGUGGUUGCUAACCUCCCAUGGCAUUUAUGAUCUCCACAAAUCUGUUAUAAAAGUGGUGUGAAAUGGAUCACUGUGGGACUGCAGAGAUAUGGCUGAAUCACUACAGCAUUUUAAAAAGCUUUCAUAACUACAGCAUUUAAAAUCUCUCUAACUUCCUUGGUAUUUGGGAUGAUCACAGAUUCAGGCUUUGGCAAACAGCCAUCUGAGCACAGUUCUCUGCUCAGGACCCAGGGGCUGAUGGGGCUAAUGGUGUGCGAGUGCCCUGCUCCAGCUGCCAAGCUGCUGGACAUUUAGCAGUUGGAAGCAGAAGUGUGGGGUUAAAUGCUGUGCCAGAAAAUCUGUGCUUAUCCUUGAGGUAACUUUGGAGCAUGGUGCUCACAUCCAUACUCCCAGACAUUGCAGCAGCAGGAGCUGCAACUGCCUUGUCUUUAUUUGAUGCAAGCAGCAGCAAAACAUCUUUCUCCAAAUCAUAUGAAGAACAUAGCAGCAGCUGAAGCUGUUCAGAUGCUUCUGCUGUAAAAUUGUUAUGUCUAGCCCAACUGUGGGGUUAUUGGAGGCAGUGGUAGCCUGAAACACAAGCAUUUUGGGGGGAAGAUUUCAGUUUGUAACUGCCUUGCAAAAGUUUCUGUUUUGUAAACUCAUUCCUACAACGCGAUUUUUCAUUUUUUUGUUAAGAUUUGGAACUUAGAGUUAUUCAGGUCGUUUACUUGCAUUUACAGUUCUUGAGAUAACAUCUCAUGUAUUCUUUGUCAGAUAGAACUUUAUCAAUGUAAGCUACACCUGUAGGAGAUCUUGGCAAAAAAUUAUUGUUCUCUGAGGAGGUAAAACUCAAAACCGAAUCAUUCCAAGUGGACGUCUUACUCCUCUCCAGUCAUUUGAAUGUCCCUGUCCUCUCGUUGAAUUACUGCAGGUAGCAUUUGCUAUGUCCUUGCGUCUCCAAGCAAUUUUUGAAGGUCUUGCUUUGGUGUCACUUCAACACUCAGUGUUGUAAGAAACACGCAGGGAUUUUUGCCUGUUUUUUUUCCCCAUAAUGUUUUAGAGUUUUGUUCAAAAACAAAACACACCAGCCAACCUCUUCUGGUAUGUAGCGAUUCAGUGAUCAAGUGGUUUAUCUUUUGUUUGUUAGCUCUGGAGAGAAAAGCUGUGUAAAAGCAUACAGUGCUAUGAAAACUACUUGUAAAACUGCUCCAGAAGCUUUGCAGUAGAAAUUCUGUGGGGUUGCUUAGAAGUGAGCAGCAGCACUAGUAAGGAUUGUGUGGGUUUAGAAUAAGUAAUAUCUCUUUUUUGAGGUGUGACACUGUUUUCAGUGUUGCUCAGCAGCAGCAAAACUGGAAGAAUUGGGAUUUUUUUCUUUAUUCUUCGCUUUCUGUGAUUCGUUUUUGUUUGGGCUU